GAUGAACGCUGGCGGCGUGCCUAAUACAUGCAAGUCGAGCGAACAGACGAGGAGCUUGCUCCUCUGACGUUAGCGGCGGACGGGUGAGAAACACGUGGAUAACCUACCUAUAAGACUGGGAAAAAUUCGGGAAACCGGAGCAAAUAGCGGAUAAUAUACUGAACCGCAUGGUUCAAUAGUGAAAGACGGCGUUGGUGUCAGUAAUAGAUGGAUCCGCGCCGCAUUAGGUAGUUGGUAAGGUAACGGGUUAUCAAGGCGACGAUGCGUAGCCGAACUGAGAGGGUGAUGGGCCACACUGGAGCUGGGACACCGUCCUGACUCCUACGGGAGGCAGCAGUAGGGAAUCUUCCGCAAUAGGCGGAAGCCUGACGGAGCAGCGCCGCGUGUGUGAUAAAGGUCUUCGGUUCGUAAAACUCUGUUAUUAGGGAAGAACAGAUGUGUAAGUAACUAUGCACGUCUUGACGGUACCUAAUCAGAAAGCCACGGCUAACUACGUG
rnacentral:rRNA from 1 species